rnacentral:rRNA from 1 species
AACGCGAAGAACCUUACCAGGUCUUGACAUCCACCGAAUCCCCUGGAGACAGGGGAGUGCCCUUCGGGGAGCGGUGAGACAGGUGGUGCAUGGUUGUCGUCAGCUCGUGUCGUGAGAUGUUGGGUUAAGUCCCGCAACGAGCGCAACCCUUGUGAAUAGUUGCUACGAAAGAGCACUCUAUUCAGACCGCCGUUGACAAAACGGAGGAAGGUGGGGAUGACGUCAAAUCAUCAUGCCCCUUAUGACCUGGGCUACACACGUACUACAAUGGUCGUCAACAGAGGGAAGCAAGACCGCGAGGUGGAGCGAACCCCUAAAAACGAUCUCAGUUCAGAUUGCAGGCUGAAACUCGCCUGCAUGAAGAUGGAAUUGCUAGUAAUCGCGGAUCAGCAUGCCGCGGUGAAUACGUUCCCGGGUCUUGUACACACCG